GGUGGCUCAGUGGUAGAGUGCUUGCUUUGCAUUCAUGAGACCCUGGGUUCGAUUCCUCAGCACCA
rnacentral:tRNA from 1 species